GCGCGCACACAGACUCUUCUCCACGAUGCCCUCGUGGAUCCGGUGACAUCUACAUGAAGGUUUUGCGCCGCUGCCUUGUGACUGCAGAUUUGGGUUUCUGUCUUUCUGUCUCUGUUUUUGAUUUGCAUUCUCUAACGUGUGGGAGUGUUUCAUCCAGCGAGGUCAUAAGUGGCCUGUGAUACAACGAGCCCACCGUCCUCUGACACGUGAAUCUGAAUUCUCUGCUCCGGAGGAGAUACUUUGAGAGCAACAAAAUGCUAUGGGAACUCCUCAUCCCCUUCUCUAAACCAGCUGAGGCAGAUGGCCGCCCCCACCCUCAACCUGGUUCUGCUGGAGGUUCUGGAGUGUUUCGUCUCACGUGUCGGGCUUUCUCUAUAAUUAAACAAGACAACAUUUGGUGAACAGUUGCAUUGCUACUAAUCAGGGCGCCGUGUAUGAGACGUAAGAUCCCACAACUCUCAUGGCACCUCAGAACAAAGGCCGGGCCACAAAGGGUGAGGAGCAGUGUGCAGACGUCCACAAUGACGCUCUGUGGCGAUGCAGAGGUCGGAGCAAAUGCUGAAGCUCAGUGUUCUCAGCAGCACAGUGGCCUCAAAGCCUGUCAAAUGUACGAGUCAGGACUCUUCCUUCCACUGUCCAUCGGGUCACAGUGAAUAAAAAUGUCUUUGGACCAUCAUCAGCAUCGUGAAGUUAAAUGGAAGCUACAGCUGCUUGUUUUUCAUCCACGCUCCAAUGACUUGGAGGCCGUGAGGAUGAAGGUUCCGAGUUCUGAUGAUGCAGAACGAAAGCACCGUGUGAGCCUCACUCCAACACAAUGGGUGAAAAACAGCUUGAGAAGAAAUGAAUGUUUGAAUGUGUUUUCAAUAAGCCCAGAAUAAGAGCAGAGUGAUGCGUUCCUCCUUAAACCCAGUAAAAGACGAAUAAACAUGUUUUUAUGAGGAGUGUGCAACACAAACAACUGCACAUACAUGAAUGGUGAACGGCAGCUGACGUUGGAGCACAUGGAUUUCAAUCUGUUAUCUUUCUUGAGCAGACUCAGCCCCACUGAGCGAAGCCACACUUCACUAAGUGGCUUGUCGGCGUGAUUGUUUAUAUUGAAACCAAAUGGAUGUAAAGCUUCUUCCGCUGGUCUCAAUAACACAGACAGGCUGUUUUUCCAGACGACACACAAAACAAAAUAACAGGCUCGAACUGGAAAUGUCAACGAUUCCCUUAAGUGGUUUUACACACUUGUUUUCCACAUAUACCUCUUAAAUGUGCCAGCAGUCAGAGCAGCUUCAGAACGCGUUGUUCUGCAGCUGGAGCUUUGAACAGUCACAAAAUCAAACGUACUGGAUCAUGAUAUUAAUGCCGGUGUGUUUAUGCAGCGUGCAGCUUGGGUUUUUCAUGAAUCGACUAAUUAAUUAUUUUAUAAUA